UACGGAGGGUGCAAGCGUUAUCCGGAUUUACUGGGUUUAAAGGGUGCGUAGGUGGGUCUGUAAGUCAGUGGUGAAAUCUUCGAGCUUAACUCGGAAACUGCCAUUGAUACUAUAGGUCUUGAAUAUCCUGGAGGUGAGCGGAAUAUGUCACGUAGCGGUGAAAUGCUUAGAUAUGACAUAGAACACCGAUUGCGAAGGCAGCUCACUACGGGAUCAUUGACACUGAGGCACGAAAGCGUGGGGAUCAAACAGG
rnacentral:rRNA from 1 species